UCCCAGACCCCCAAUCCCUAACCUAUCACUCCCUAUCACUCUCUCUUAUUCUCUUCUCUCUUUAUCUCUUCCGCCUCCUACGUCGUCGCCUCUGGUGCCGCCACUGGCGACCACCACUGUCGCAGCCACACCUCUUCCCUCACUGCCCUCUCUCUCUUCUCCUAUUCUCUUCACCGAUCUUCACCGGUCGUCUACUUCGUCUUCUCCACUCUCGUCGUCGGUUCCAAAACCCUAAACCUACCUUCGAUCUUCUCCAAUCCCUCCACAAGCCAUAUGUUUAAAUCCAUACGCUACACUCUCCUCAACUGUUCAGAACCUUUGUCUACAAAGGACUACCGUCGGACUCAUCAGAAGCCGAUCUCGAAUGGGCUGAUUGCGAUGAGAAAGAUCAGGUGACGAGGCACAUUAAUGUGUCAGAAACGAAAUCAGAAGAUGGACAGUUGAUCUUUGCCCUAAUUUUUCUCUCUAUUUAUGUUCAAAUUUACCAUGAUAAUGCAUUCAAAAUCUUCUCGUGCAUUGCAUAUUAUAAAUAAGUUGAACACUUCUGCCACAUAUGACUUGUUGGAGUUGUUCUUUAAGCAGCAGGGUAUACGACCGCACGUGCGGGGCUCAUGGCCUCACGUGCGGGAAGCACAACCGCACGUGUGGUGCUCACAGCCGCAUGUGCGGAAAACAGGGGAGAAAGGUUGGGCUACACUGCAAUAAAAGCACGUGCGGCGCACCGGCCCGCACGUGCGAUAGGGACUUUCGUAGGGCACAUACAGGAGGGGAUCAUCGUUCACCCGUAUCACUAUGAGUGAUAGUAGCGUAAAGUCAUGUUUCAUUCAUGUAUUAUGUUCAUAUGUGUGGUUCGAUACCUUAUUCACUCUUUUGGUAAAUAACUUAUGUUAUAAGAGAUAUGUUUGAUAUAUGUUUGAACUUUGGCACAUGAGAUAUGGACCUGAGGUCAUUCUGAUUGCAUUAUGAUGGGCCCAAGGCCAUUUUGCUAAAAUAAUGAACCUAAGGUCAUUUUGUAUUUCGUUGGGCCCGAGGCUGUUUUGCUAUUAUAAUGGGUCUAAGGCCGUUCUGUAUUACGAUGGGCCUAAAGUUGUUCCGUAUUACGAUGAGCCUAAGGCCAUUCUGUAUUACGUUGGGCCUAAGGCCAUUCUGCAUUAUGUUGGGCCUAAGGCCGUUCAGAAAAAGAAAUAUGAAUAAGUCCAACGUGUGAUUUAUUAAUAUGCAUUGUAAAUUAUGCUCGUACCCUUAAUCUGUUUGGAUUACUAUUAUUCACUGAGCCUUACUCACUCCAUUUUUUAUUUGGAUGUUUUGUAUGUAAUCAACUUGCGGGGCAACUGUAGGUCAGCCCAGGAGUCUUUUAUUGAACCGUUUUACUGAGUCACCCGAAGUGACUCUUUUGUUUAAUUUUGGGAAAUCUAUAUGUUGACAUGUUUUGUUGGAAUUAGGAGGAAUAAACAUGUGUAUAUAUGUUUUGGCAUUGCCUAACUUUUGGGUUGUUACCUUUUCCACAUAAACAAUAAUGUAACUAGUGUAUGAAAUGUUAUGUUCUUAUAUAUGGUAAUGCAUUAAGAUCCUGUCAUGUAGUCACAACUCAAUGAAUUUUUUAUUCUAUUAUUUUGCUUCCAUUCUGGCCCUAAUUUUGAGUAAAAUUUAUUAUAGCAAAGUUGAGGCCUUAAGUUGGGCCAGUCAUGUCCAAACUUUUAGGGGCAGGUUUGGGUCGUGACAAGGUAAGAACUCUUUAAAUUAUAAUUAUACAUCGAUCUAAAGUUAUAAUAGCCGUGAGAUUGAUAUUCUUCUUGCAUGCCUUGGCUGUGAUAUUAUUUCAGAUAAGAAGCUCUUUAUGUUAAAUAGGAAAAUUAAUUUUGGUAGAAUGGUUAUUGAAAUUAGUGUCUGCUUUAUCUUAUAUUGGAGAAUAGAAUACUAUGACAUAAUAGCAUGAUGAUAUCACAAUCAUCUACAUAAAUUGGCCAUCUAGCAGCAUUAAUAUCCAUCAUUUUCUAAAAAUUCAAAUUAAUUGAGUGGGUGUCUGGCAAGGACUAUUAGAUUAGAGUUUAGUAAGCAUCUAAACACAAUAUUCUAAAAUGAUUAAUCACCUGGGAAUGGUCUUUACAGUAGCAUAGUAUCACUUGACUUGUAUGUAGGGAGAGAGAUUUACAAAAUCAACUAGUUCCUUGAGAAACUUAAAAUUUGAGGUGUUAACGUCCCAAAAUCACCAAACGGCAUCAGAUUAGCACGAAACUUGGCACACGUGACCGCCUAGGCAUGAGAGACUUGUGGGAGAAGACGGGACUCGAAUCGAGUUCCCGAUUUGGGAGUUGGAGUUAGAUUUCACUCUAGACAAACUAAUUUCUUAAGAAACUUAGAAUUCGAGGUGCUAACGCCCCAAAAUCACCAAACGGUGUUGAAUUAGCAUGAAACUUAGCACACAAGACCGUCUAGGCACGAGAGACUUGUGGGAGAAGACGGGACUCAAAUUGGAUUCCCGGUUUGGGAGUUAGAGCCGGAUUUCAAUCUAGACAAACUAGUUGAAACUUAGAA